UCUUUCGUGGUGUAAUGGUAACAUCGAUGCUUGUCAUUCAACGGAUCGCAUCAGCCCCGAGUUCGAUUCUCGGCGAGAGAG